GCGGCAAAGAACACGUCACUUUCUGUCAACUUGCUUUACGGCAGUGAGUUUCCUGCUGUUACCAUGGACAGAAACACGAACAAACGGCUCAGCAGUCUUAAACGGAAACGACGACGUUACAGGACAACACCAGAUAUGGAGUCGGAUUCCAGGAAAGAGAAGUCAGAGGACGAUUCCACGCCUGAAAGCAGACACCUCAUCGCAUAUUCAUACAUUGUGAUAUAUAUUGUAAGAGCGCCUCCGGACAGCCCUGUGAUUUAAGAACUACCACAACGGCUGCGAUGGCGGAAGAAGGCUGCAGCAGAAAAGGGUCCCAAGUCGUCUUGGACUCCAUGCCACUGGACCCUGACCCGAUUCUGUCAAGGAUCGUGUGGUGACUGUCUGUGCACCAGUCUUCUUACAAUAAACAAAGUCACGCACAGGCAUCCUCCAUAAAGGGAUACACCCCUACCAGGAGGAUCGUCAUACUCGUCGAGUGACCGCCGAUGAUGAUUGAAUGCUACUA